UUGCCUACGGGGGGCAGCAGUGGGGAAUAUUGCACAAUGGGGGAAACCCUGAUGCAGCGACGCCGCGUGAGUGAGGAAGUAUUUCGGUAUGUAAAGCUCUAUCAGCAGGGAAGAAAAUGACGGUACCUGACUAAGAAGCCCCGGCUAACUACGUGCCAGCAGCCGCGGUAAUACGUAGGGGGCAAGCGUUAUCCGGAUUUACUGGGUGUAAAGGGAGCGUAGACGGAGGAGCAAGUCUGAUGUGAAAAUCCGGGGCCCAACCCCGGGAGUGCAUUGGAAACUGCCAGGCUGGAGUGUCGGAGGGG
rnacentral:rRNA from 1 species